rnacentral:piRNA from 1 species
CAACUGAAGGUGGCAACGUUAUGCUG